GUAGAUGUGCUUUGCUAAGCAGAUGCGUUUUAUCCCAACACACCUGUAAUUGCUGGCAACCAAACAAGUCUCACAUUCCUCAGUGUAAUGGGAUCGUUAGUGGGAAGAGGUGCCUUGUACCUGGCUGCUCCAGGGACAGCUCAGGGCACAUAAAGAUCCUUGUAGCUGGGAAUACCUGGUGCAUUUGGCAGAGAAACAGAUGUUCUACCUUGUUCUUUCUGCCCUCUUGGUUCAUAGCAGACAUUUGAAUGGGCCCUGACUUUCAGUGAGAAGGGCUGGAAAGGAAAAGGAAAAUCUGGACCCUGCCAGAAACAUCAUGACUUCACUCUGCCACUCAGGACCCGAAUUCCUCAGUGUGUGACAGUCCAGGCAACAACCCUCAUCAUUAACUGCAAAGGACAGCUGCCUGAACUUCUGCAAUUCUGAAAGUGCAGAAAAUCUCGAUCUAGAUUUGGAUUUCAUGGCUUAGCCUCAGUAGGCAGUUGCUUGGAUUCUUCAGGAGUCGUGUUGAGACUAAUUGAGGAGGAGAGACAGAGCUGAGGUAAAAACAGGAGUUCAUACUUCCAGUUCAUGAAGUCUCCAAGGACAUUUUAACUAAGGAAGCACUUUGUGUGGCUGAGAAAUGGGUAUCUCCAGGGGUGCUGAGUAGCUACACAUGGGAAAUAGGAAGGUGUUGGCUGUGUCCCUCCCAACCCCUUGUGCAACCCCAGCCCAUUGCUCACAUGAUGUCUCAUGGUUUCCUACUGAGCAGACAGACAGAUACACCUAUGCUUCUCUUGAUGUAAAGGGGUUCUGACCUGUCCCAGCAAUCUGAACGUGGUUUGUCUCUGGGCAAUGCUAGUCAGUUCUGUGAGGGUUUGGGGAUUUCGUUGAAGAGUCCAUGAGACAUUACAUAACGCAUGGAGUUGAGGACAGACCAGCAGGAAUGUGUUCCUCUCAUGCACAGGCAGGUGUGAGGUGUUAAUUCUUUCUGUAAGCAGAUUUAGUAUGGUAACAAGGCGUCCAGAGCCCCUUCCAAGCAAACACAGUGACUGAUACAGAUUCUCCUUUGUGUAAGUGUGAGUUGGUUUUCAAAAACAUCUUCCUCAUGCACAUAAGGAGACUAUAUCCCCAGGAGAUGAGCGUUCUUGGACCAGAGUUUGCAUUUCUAGGACAUUUUUCUCUUCCCACAAAUCCCUCAGAGAAUGCAGAUGUGAUCUGUUGGGUCCCUACAGCCUCAAGCAUUAGAGACACCAGUCCCGUAUAGGAAAAAAUAAACAGCCCCUCUCUGAGGUUUCAUUCAUCCUUCUCCAAAUGCCUGUGAAUGUGCAAGCAGCUUUGAGGGAAUGGCUGUUGUUUUCCUUUGAGUGUCCCCAGAGAGGCUGCUGAUAAACAUUGGCAGCUCCUCCUCAGGUCAGAGCCAGCAAACAGUCUGUACCUAUGGUUGUGAUGCAUCAAAUCUUUGGGACUGGAAGGGAAAGGCUUACAGGAAAGCACAGCACCCUUCCUCAGUUGCUUAGAAACCAGUGUGACUUCCAAGCCACGUUCAUUCUGGCGAAUGAGGGCAGGAAUCCCAGGACAUUGCAGUGUUUGCCUGGGAGAUUUCAGGGUUCCAUUUCUUGUUCCUUUGGGUUUGAAUCACAUAAUGUACUUUUUUAAUGCAAGAAGUAGACAGGAACAAACACGACAUGCUUAAUGACUUCAUAUGUUCACAGUGUGAGUUAACCCUGGAAGACACAGAGUCUGUAAGGGUGGAUGGGGCAGUUUAAGAAGCUGUCACCCUGAUAGAUACUGAUGACAGCUCUCCUGGAGGUCAUCUCUUCAGUAGAUGAACUGAUGGAGGUGGCUGUGCUGUUGCUUCUCAGUCAUUUAAUUACAAAGCCACAUGAGCCCUUUGCUUGGUCAAGUCAACUCAGUGUCAGCACAAGAAAGGUUGUGCAAGACAAGAGAAGCAUGCCACAGAGCAAAGGAGUAGAACCCUUCUUCUCUGGUGUGGAUAUCCUGGGUAGGAAAUGAUUUUCCUUAAUGUUAUAUUUUUUACAUUAAGCUCCUUAUCAAAGCCAGACAUUUAUCAUCAAUGGAGGUGCCUCUGGAAGGAGAUUCAUCUUCAUAUUUAUUUAAAUUAAUCAAAACCUACAUUCAGUAUACCUAAUUUGAAUCAUUUUUUCUGCAUAACUCAGAAAGCCCUUGAUGAAUGAAUGAUACUGGGAACUUUGUCUCACAUCGCUCUCACUGAUGACGUUUUCCUGACUGUAGGUGAUGCACAACUGCUGCCACUUCCAUAUAUUUGCAUUUAUGCAGUAUUCUCCCUAAUGAAAGGAGCCUAGAUGUAAGGCUUAGUGUCACUUCAUGUCUACAGAGUGUUAAAACAGAGGUAUUUCUAAGCCAUCAACACUAAUGCAAAAAGACACAGCAGAGAAAAUGUAUUCAUUAUAUCAUUGAUUUAUAUAUAGCUUUUAGAAGUAUCCCAUAAUCUCAAUAGUAAUAGAUUUAUUUUUGAUUGCUAUGUUUGAUUUUUUGCUUCAUCAUACCAAAAGGAAAAGAAAAAUGCAGCAGGCAGUGCUUUAUAACAAAGUCUCUAGAUUCAGUGCAAA